rnacentral:misc_RNA from 1 species
AACGCACAUUGCGCCCUUUGGUAUUCCAAAGGGCAUGCCUGUUCGAGCGUCAUUUGUACCCUCAAGCUUUGCUUGGUGUUGGGCGUCUUUUUGUCUUUGGCUCGCCCAGAGACUCGCCUUAAAACGAUUGGCAGCCGGCCUCCUGGUUUCGCAGCGCAGCACAUUUUUGCGCUUGCAAUCAGCAUACAGAGGUUGGCAAUCCAUCAAGACCUUUUUUUUACCUUUGACCUCGGAUCAGGUAGGGAUACCCGCUGAACUUAA